rnacentral:rRNA from 1 species
CAGCCGCCGCGGGAAUACGGAGGGGGCUAGCGUUGUUCGGAAUUACUGGGCGUAAAGCGUGCGUAGGCGGCUUUUUAAGUCGGAUGUGAAAUCCCUGAGCUUAACUUAGGAAUUGCAUUCGAUACUGGGAAGCUAGAGUAUGGGAGAGGAUGGUAGAAUUCCAGGUGUAGCGGUGAAAUGCGUAGAGAUCUGGAGGAAUACCGAUGGCGAAGGCAGCCAUCUGGCCUAAUACUGACGCUGAGGUACGAAAGCAUGGGGAGCAAACAGGAUUAGAUACCCGCGUAGUCCCUGUCUCUUAUAC